rnacentral:rRNA from 1 species
UACGUAGGGGGCAAGCGUUACCCGGAUUUACUGGGCGUAAAGCGCGUGUAGGCGGCUGGCCAAGUGUGGUGUGAAAUCCCCCGGCUCAACCGGGGAACUGCAUUGCAAACUGGUCUGGCUAGAGUGCAGGAGAGGGAAGUGGAAUUCCCGGUGUAGCGGUGAAAUGCGUAGAUAUCAGGAGGAACACCAAUUGCGAAGGCAGCUCGCUGGGACGUUACUGACGCUGAGACGCGAAAGCGUGGGGAGCAAACAGG